AUAGCUCAGCUGGGAGAGCGCCUGCUUUGCAAGCAGGAGGUCGUCGGUUCGAUCCCGUCUGGCUCCACCA
rnacentral:tRNA from 1 species